UUUUCUAUAAACAACUGCUGAGUGGUGGCAUUAAGGUCGCCUUCCCAACGCCCUACAUAUUCGCCUUUAGUAUUUUGUAGUCCAAGCACCAUUGGUGUACUUAACUGUCCCUUUGUGAAAAUUUUCUUCUUUGGACACAAAUCUCAUAAUUAACCUUCAAGCAAGCAAGUGUUCCUGCAUGCUCGUUUUCAUCUCUUACUCCUUCACAUGACAAUAAUUCAUUGAAGGUAGUCCUUUU
rnacentral:lncRNA from 1 species